rnacentral:rRNA from 1 species
GAGUGGCAACGGGUGAGUAUAAUGUGGGAAUCUGCCUUUUGGUUUGGAAUAACACGGGGAAACUUGUGCUAAUACCAAAUAAGCCCUUACGGGGAAAGUUUCAACGCCGAAAGAUGAGCCUGCACUUGAUUAGCUAGUUGGUAAGGUAAAGGCUUACCAAGGCAACGAUCAAUAGCUGUUCUUAGAGGAAGACCACCCACAUUGGGACUGAGACACGGCCCAGACUCCUACGGGAGGCAGCAGGGGGGAAUCUUGCACAAUGGGGAAAACCCUGAUGCAGCGAUGCCGCGGGAGUGAAAAAGGCCUUUGGGUUGAAAAACUCUUUCGCCGGGGAAAGAAAAUGACUGUCCCCGAAAAAAAAGGUCCGGUUAACUUCGGGCCACCCCCCGCGGAAAUACAAAGGGACCUAGCCGUGUUUCGGAAUUCCGGGGCUUAAAAGACCCCGAAGGGGGUUAAAAA